UCACGUGUGGGCCAAGGAGGGCGUCGGUCGGAGCCGCUCCUACUCUGUCUUUCGCAAUAUUUAGGGUGUGGACUUAAUCCCAUAAUCUAAAUCCCCUCCGAAUAUAGUUCUGGCCUUCAGUCUGCCUCUGUGCCUUGCAUAGGGCACAUGUCCCGAGGAGUGUAAAUAUUAUUAAUAACGAUGCCAAAUCAGUGUGCGGUAUUUGGCUGUUGCAAUAAAAAAGGUAAAGGGGGCAAGAAUAACUUACGAUGUUUCCGAUUCCCAAGAGACGAGAAACUGAGACAGGUGUGGGUAAAUGUGUGCCGUAGGAGAGAUUCAAUCAAUGCUAAAAAUGCUGUUGUAUGUUCUAAGCACUUUACCAGUGACAGUUACAUGGAUGAUAUGAAAAGUCGGUUACUUGGUGUUGAAAGUCCUCGGAAUAAACGACUUCUGAAGAAAGAAGCUGUACCAUCACUCUUCCUCCCAAAUGGUAAGUGUUGCUUAACUAUUUGUUAUGUAUAUUAGUAGUGAUGUUAAAUAAAUGACCAAGAUAUAUGUAGGCAGUAUUCGGUCCUUGAAUUCUCAUGAAAAAUGAGGAUUGUACAUAUCAUGAUGCAUGCAGCUCUUAUAUGACUCCCUAUGUUAUAUGUAGGUUUUAUGUGUAUCCCCACAAUGUAUCUAGAUUUUAUAUGAGUCUCUGUAUGCAUCAAUGAUGUAUGCGAUUCUCCACGGUGUAAACACAUAUGGAGUUAGAUACGGAAGCGGUGGGCGAUGAAGUGUCUGUGGACUUGCAUGAAAACCAAGAAAAUAUGGAAAAUGUGAAUGUAUUGGAGUCAGCUAGUACAGUCAUAGAAGAACAGUCUCUACAGUAUAUUGGCGGCUACAUUGUGAAAAAGUUUUCAAUGAAAUACCCAAAUCUAGGACAUGUGGCAGAGAACUGUGGGUCGCCAACUAACUCAUGGACUGAAAUGAUCAGUAGAGGUCAUUUAUAUAUGCCUUCUGAUAGCUUUUCUUCCCAGUUAAGUACUAUGAGGGCAGUAUUUAAAGCCGUUCAUGGUGAAGAGCUGAGGGCAGGCACUGAGUGUGUACAAACUCUUACUGCAGAAAUGGAACGUGCAGGAGUACAUGUGUCAUCUGAAGUCAUUGCAUUUUUUGCUAGAAUAUCUAUCUUCUUUAGGAUGAGGCACCUGAAUAAAAUGAUCAAACAGAACAAACAGAAGAGACAGAAUGCACUUAUUCGCGAUGAAUGUAGGGGAAUGGCAAGGAAGAAAAUGAAAAUGAUAACAUAGGCUACAUAUGCUGUAAAUAUAUACAUAUGCUGUAAAUAAUAUUUUAUGUUCAUGUAAAUAACUGUUAAGUAGCAAUAAAGACACCUGCAGUA